rnacentral:lncRNA from 10 species
UUCAAUUGAGUAAACAUUUCCUAAUUACUUAAGAGCAAAGCGUUGUUAGGUGCCUAGGGAAACAAAGACAAAUCAUUGCUUCCUGUCUCCAAAAAGUUCCCCAUUGAGCAAGCAGGUGAGCUACAAUAAAAGCAACAGGUCUUAUUAACAAAGGGCUGGGCAAAUCCAGAGGAGAGUGUGAUAAAUUCCACUUUGGUGAGACUUCCGUGGAAGAACUAAAAGCUGGACCUUGAAGAUCUGUCUGCUGUGUGCCAGACACAUGUCUGUGAUUCAGAGGGCAGCAUUGACUCUGGAGUGUGCAGAAGAUAAUGAAUCUGGAAAAGAAAACUGGGGCCAGACUGAAAAUUUCAGUGCCUCUCUGCCCUUAUCCCCUCCAGAUACUCUCUUCUACUACCUUGCUUAUUCCCCAAGACCCAGCUCAACCUCUACCUUCUUUAUUAAAUCUUCCUGAUUACC